GAUAAACGCUAGCGGCAGGCUUAACACAUGCAAGUCGAGGGGCAGCAUAGAUUGUAGCAAUAAAAUUGGUGGCGACCGGCGCACGGGUGCGUAACGCGUAUGCAACCUACCCGUCACAGGGGGAUAAUCCGGAGAAAUCUGGUCUAAUACCCCAUAACAUAUGGAUCGGCAUCGGUUCAUGUUGAAAUUUUCGGAGGUGACGGAUGGGCAUGUGUAGCAUUAGCUUGUUGGUGAGGUAACGGCUCACCAAGGCGACGAUGCUUAGGGGGACUGAGAGGUUUUCCCCCCACACUGGUACUGAGACACGGACCAGACUCCUACGGGAGGCAGCAGUGAGGAAUAUUGGUCAAUGGGCGCAAGCCUGAACCAGCCAUGCCGCGUGCAGGAUGACGGCUCUAUGAGUUGUAAACUGCUUUUGUACGAGGGUAAAGUGGGUUACGUGUAACCUUUUGAAAGUAUCGUACGAAUAAGGAUCGGCUAACUCCGUGCCAGCAGCCGCAGUAA
rnacentral:rRNA from 1 species